AUUGAACGCUGGCGGCAGGCCUAACACAUGCAAGUCGAGCGAGCGGCGGACGGGUGAGUAAUGUUUGGGGAUCUGCCCGAUAGAGGGGGAUAACUAUUGGAAACGGUGGCUAAUACCGCAUACUCUCGGAUGAACCCAUAUGGGAUUAGCUAGUUGGUGGGUUAAAGGUCCACCUAGACGACGAGCUCUAGCUGGUCUGAGAGGAUGAUCAGCUACACUGGGACUGAGACACGGCCCAGACUCCUACGGGAGGCAGCAGGGGGGAAUAUUGGACGAUGGGCGCAAGCCUGAUGCAGCCAUGCCGCGUGUAUGAAGAGGGCCUUAAGGUUGUAAAGUACUUACAGCGGGGAGGCGUUACCCGCAGAAGAAGCACCGGCUAACUCCGUGCCAGCAGCCGCGGUAAUAC
rnacentral:rRNA from 1 species